rnacentral:rRNA from 1 species
GACGAACGCUGGCGGCGUGCCUAAUACAUGCAAGUAGAACGCUGAAGAGAGGAGCUUGCUCUUCUUGGCUGAGUUGCGAACGGGUGAGUAACGCGUAGGUAACCUGCCUGGUAGCGGGGGAUAACUAUUGGAAACGAUAGCUAAUACCGCAUAAAAUUGAUUAUUGCAUGAUAAUUAAUUGAAAGAUGCAACUGCAUCACUACCAGAUGGACCUGCGUUGUAUUAGCUAGUUGGUGAGGUAACGGCUCACCAAGGCGACGAUACAUAGCCGACCUGAGAGGGUGAUCGGCCACACUGGGACUGAGACACGGCCCAGACUCCUACGGGAGGCAGCAGUAGGGAAUCUUCGGCAAUGGGGGGAAUCCUGACCGAGCAACGCCGCGUGAGUGAAGAAGGUUUUCGGAUCGUAAAGCUCUGUUGUAAGAGAAGAACGGGUGUGAGAGUGGAAAGUUCACACUGUGACGGUAGCUUACCAGAAAGGGACGGCUAACUACGUG